ensembl:lncRNA
GUGAGUGGACUGCUUAUGACAGAAAGGAUAUUCUUUGCACAAUAGACUAGAACUUGGUGAGUCACAGAAGAGAACUAUCUCUUGUUUGGAGUCUAAGUUCUUGUUCUAGAGUCAAGAGCAGUGAGUGGCAGGGGCUCUGCAGUGUGACAGCUACCUGGACAAUUUACUCAGGAAAUGCCAUGGAAGCAGCUUCUCGGAUGGAGGCCGGUCCCUCCUCCACCGCCACCGAUGCCACUGGCUGUCCUGCUCUCUUGUUAGGGAUGUGUGGCUGAACCUAAGCACACCGGUGGACAAGGGGCUAAGCCUGGGACAGAUCCCAAGGCCGAGAGGGGGUGUCCUGGGCGCACCCCAGUCUUCUUUCUUCAGUUCUCACCUUCCUGCUCUUUGGAUCCCAGCUCAAUCCCUGCUCCACUUGGCACACACCGGUCACAGCCUGGGAAUGGAAGAAACCUAGCCCCAAGAACACGGAGUCUUAUGUGAGAGGCUCACCGCCCCCACCAGGCCUACACACAGGAGCACUCGGAUGAAGACGUUGCACGCCGUGUAAGCCCUGGGAAUGAGGCAUCUUGAGAUAGGCUGCAAAAUCAUACCACGAGUCUGUUAAAGCGGACCACAGGAAGGUGCAUCGUGCGCUCCCAUCUCUGAAGGAGCAAGCACAGCGGAAGACCCAGAAGAAUAAACAGGGAACACUUCACAGUGGCCACCCUGGGAUACUGCACUGGGAAAGACAGGGCGUGCUCACUUUAGAUUCUUUGAGGUCCAUGAUUGACAGAAAAUCGGAACCAAGGAUGAGAACGCCAGUUAAGCCUCCAAGCCGACUCAAAGAAACUAUUAUUUCUGCGAUCGAUUCUCCAGCGUGCCAUCACACUUUCUAAGCCGCCAACUUACUCGGUCCACUGAAAAAUGGAGCCAUCAUCUAUUGCCACUUGCCCCAAACGCAUUGUUUUAGGCUACAACUUAGCCAGGUGGGUUCUACUCGAGCUCUGCUCCUGUCGAGGACCACGUAAUGCUGUCCCCAGGGCUGCUCUGGCCUCAACAGACCAACUCCAGAGAGGACGAGGAGGAAGAAUGGGGACCUCAGAGGGAAACAUCUAAGGGGACAACUCCCAGCACUUGGAUCAGCUGGGACUUCUGAACUUGCCAGCAUCCACCUGGAACCCUACCAUGUUCCUUCAGCAAAUGAUACAGCCCCUCAGACCUCACUUCCCCCAGAGUGCUUUCAAAUGGCUUGGCCCAAGAGUCCCACUUCUUCUGAAAACUAGCCUUCGACUGUAGAAGGCACUGCCAAGGUGACUGGGGGGCCGUGUCUGGGAGUGGACAGAGGAGGGCCACCAGGGAAGAAGCAGACACACGCCCUCAGUACGCCCUGAAGCUACGCUCGCCCUCAGUACCCUUGACCCCCAGAACAGUAAAACCAUUGUUUUGACACAAGAGGGAGAAAGAAUGAAAUUCAGGAUGUGGAACAAGGUGACCUAUUUAUAAAACCUCCUUUCACCUGAAGAUCAAAUAGGC